AGUCGAGCGAGCUUGCCUAGAUGAUUUUAGUGCUUGCACUAAAUGACAUUAGAUACAAGCGAGCGGCGGACGGGUGAGUAACACGUGGGUAACCUGCCCAAGAGACUGGGAUAACACCUGGAAACAGAUGCUAAUACCGGAUAACAACACUAGACGCAUGUCUAGAGUUUGAAAGAUGGUUCUGCUAUCACUCUUGGAUGGACCUGCGGUGCAUUAGCUAGUUGGUAAGGUAACGGCUUACCAAGGCAAUGAUGCAUAGCCGAGUUGAGAGACUGAUCGGCCACAUUGGGACUGAGACACGGCCCAAACUCCUACGGGAGGCAGCAGUAGGGAAUCUUCCACAAUGGACGAAAGUCUGAUGGAGCAACGCCGCGUGAGUGAAGAAGGGUUUCGGCUCGUAAAGCUCUGUUGGUAGUGAAGAAAGAUAGAGGUAGUAACUGGCCUUUAUUUGACGGUAAUUACUUAGAAAGUCACGGCUAACUACGUGCCAGCAGCCGCGGUAAUACGUAGGUGGCAAGCGUUGUCCGGAUUUAUUGGGCGUAAAGCGAGUGCAGGCGGUUCAAUAAGUCUGAUGUGAAAGCCUUCGGCUCAACCGGAGAAUUGCAUCAGAAACUGUUGAACUUGAGUGCAGAAGAGGAGAGUGGAACUCCAUGUGUAGCGGUGGAAUGCGUAGAUAUAUGGAAGAACACCAGUGGCGAAGGCGGCUCUCUGGUCUG
rnacentral:rRNA from 1 species